rnacentral:rRNA from 1 species
AUUGAACGCUGGCGGCAGGCCUAACACAUGCAAGUCGAGCGGAUGAAGGGAGCUUGCUCCUGGAUUCAGCGGCGGACGGGUGAGUAAUGCCUAGGAAUCUGCCUGGUAGUGGGGGAUAACGUCCGGAAACGGGCGCUAAUACCGCAUACGUCCUGUGGGAGAAAGUGGGGGAUCUUCGGACCUCACGCUAUCAGAUGAGCCUAGGUCGGAUUAGCUAGUUGGUGGGGUAAAGGCCUACCAAGGCGACGAUCCGUAACUGGUCUGAGAGGAUGAUCAGUCACACUGGAACUGAGACACGGUCCAGACUCCUACGGGAGGCAGCAGUGGGGAAUAUUGGACAAUGGGCGAAAGCCUGAUCCAGCCAUGCCGCGUGUGUGAAGAAGGUCUUCGGAUUGUAAAGCACUUUAAGUUGGGAGGAAGGGCAGUAAGUUAAUACCUUGCUGUUUUGAUGUUACCAACAGAAUAAGCACCGGCUAACUUCGUG